UGUAUGAUAUAUGAUUUUAUUCCAUAAGAUUUAUUUUCCUUGUACCGUUAUCAACCAAAAGUCAAAAACCUAAGGGAGGCUCUGAAAAAAUGGGUUCGAGAGGAGCGAGUGUCGUGCUAUCGAGGGCCAAUAGAAUCAAGGCCAAGCUGCAAUCGGCCCUGGAAGCGACCGCUUUGGAGAUCGACGACGUGUCGUACCAGCACUCUGGCCACGCUGCCGUCCGAGAAACAGCGGAAGGCGAGACUCACUUCAACGUUAAGAUCGUGUCCCCAAAGUUCGAAGGCCAGAGCCUCGUGAAACGGCACCGUCUGGUCUAUGAUGCACUGGCCGAUGAGCUUCAAUCUGGACUUCACGCGCUCUCCAUUGUCGCCAAGUCGCCCCAGGAAGCGGCCGAAAAAAAAAAAUAAUCCAUUGAGUGUUCUGUUCAUUGGGAAGUUGACAACUUUUUCAGCUGGUUUAUGAAGUUGGCUUUCAAGGGUGGUAAGUCAUGAGCCCUAUUAGGUUGUAGGCUAUAAAGAGUUGGGUGUAUAAUAGUUGCUUUCUCUUUUGUGCAUGUCUUCUGUUAUAUCUUUUCCUUGGCCACAAUUUCUUUUGAAUAUUGUGCACAAUUUAUGAUGCUAAUGUGCCUCUGCAUUGUCUGAAAGCUGUUCCCUGUUUAAGAGAUGAGCACACAAUGAUUUUAACUGUUUCAUUGUUGAUUAAAGUACACACUUGUCCAGCUGCUAAUAAGGACACUUGAACUCUUUGUUAGAAAGGGAAAGUUGAAGGCUUGAAGACUCUGUAGGAUACAAUAAAAACAUGACCCCUUUAUCUCAGAUAUUUAUAUGCAGGACAUAAUUUAUGUUCAGUGUAAUGUGGAUUGUUGCAUAUCCAUAAAAAUUGCUUA